UUAAGUUUUUGCCUCGUAGACAAUAUGUAAAUCAAUUUUGCUUGGGUAUAUAUAGCCAUUCACAGUUACAAAAAUGAUUCACAUGUAUUAUCACAUUUAAUAUUCCAUAACUCUUCACAAAAGUUAAAAAAAGAUUUACUGAACUUAUAUUAAAAAGGAAACAAAUUAUUGGAGAAGAAAAUGAACUGAAUUAAUUCUUAUGGUUUGAGUGUGGCAGGUGUAAAGUCAACCCAGAUGUUCUGACUUCUAGUAGCACAUCCUGCUCUCCUGUCUGCAGAGGGACCUGGAAGAAAUAGCCAGAAACCUGGAGUUUCUCUGAGAGGCAUAUGUAUCGUCAAAUGGGCCUUCUUGAGCUUCAUAUUUACCUGGGAUAAGAGAUUGCUGGAAGAUGGUUGCAGAAAAUCAGAUGGGCUCAAGAAUCAUCAGAGAUUCAAGCACAAGGUAGAAAGUACCUUGUUCAGUUUAUACCUUCUCCAGAAUGACUUUGGAUAUAGGGACAUAAGUCUGCUUCCAAGUGACAAUCCAUGUAAUUUUCAUUGACCAGCUACUAUGAGCUAGACAUUGGGCAUGCAAAAUAAGAGAAAAUGCCCAAUUAAAGGAACUCGCAGUGUGUUAGGGGAAGGGAAGUAAAGUGUCUUCAACAUAUUAUGUAAAGCAUGAAAAAGAUUGGUUUACACUCAGAAAACAAAGGAAGAUACUACAUGUUCCUCACACCAUUUCCAAGAAAUGGCAUUUCAAAGGCAAAUGUGUUGUUGUCACAAAGAACUUGAGACUGAGCAGAUACAAAGAAGAAUCCAGAGAAGUUCACCCACUUGCUAAAACGGAAUGCCCAUCAGCGAGCAAACUGAGAGGGUAUGCAGAUUCUUUGGAGUCUGAUACAAGAUAGCUGUGCAAGUGCCAGACCUCAUGAAAAAGGAGGGGAGAGAGGGCACCCAACUAUAUUCAUGGUAUCUGUCCUCUUCUGUCAGGAUUUGGAAAGGAACAUUUUCCCAGAAAUGAAUUCUAUGAGAAUCCACUGUUUCAUAGUCAGAAAAACAAGCAUUAAAAUAAACAAAAAACUACGAAUGCCCUUUCCUCAGUGAGUGUCUGCCUUUUCACUGACAGCGCUGCAUCCACUAAACAUUCAAACAAGCAUCUUCUGUGACAGACUCCGGAGGCGUUUAACAGGCAUUUUUAUGAGCAUUUAAUGACCAAAUAUUUAUAAAUUCUCACAACACCUCUGUGAAAUAGGGGUUUCUCUGGCUUCUAUGUGAAUAAUAGACCUGUAUGCAAAAGCAAGAUAGAAGCAAAGACACCAUCAAGAGAUUAUGCAUCCUUAACUACGUGAUUCAAAGGUAUUGCAAGUCCCAAAUGUCCAUUACUUAUGAAUCAUCUUGGCCCCUAAGUAGAAUGUGUUUUUCUUAUCUCUGUUGUACAAUUUAUUCUCAGGAAUUUUAUGUAUUUCAUGGGUCUGUUUUGUCAAUGUUAAGCCUUAAAGCUCAAUUAUAUUUUGUGGAGGGAAUAGCAAAGAAUAGUUCAAUUUGAUAGUGUUUAGCCUUCAAUUAUUAAAUCAUAGCAGUGCUUACUGGAAAUGGCUUUGGUUGCUAUAGCCUGUUGUUUGUAUUUUUAAAUGAAAAAGAUAAGUCCAGUAAGGCCUUCCUCCUGUUGCCAAGAAUAAAAGCCCAGCUUUAUGAAAGCUCAUCAAGACUGACUUGCCACUGAUCCAGCUUUGAGGCAUUUGGGGGAGCUUAUUUUUUUUUAUUUUAAUCCAAAGACUGCCUAAAGACAUUUACCCUUUCCAACUAAAAGCCUUGGGUAAGGCCAUACAAAUUAUA